ACAGUGAAGCAUGGUGGUGGGCACUGUUGCCAACUUGGUGAUUUUCUCACUAAACCUCUUGACGACUUAUUUUCACAAAAGCGACUAGUGACAAAUCUCGCGACUUUUCCUGGCGUCACUGGAAACUUUUCUGGUGUUUGGUGA